GCCUCGUGAAUUCAUCUCCGGGGGUAGAGCACUGUUUCGGCUAGGGGGCCAUCCCGGCUUACCAACCCGAUGCAAACUGCGAAUACCGGAGAAUGUUAUCACGGGAGACACACGGCGGGUGCUAACGUCCGUCGUGAAGAGGGAAACAACCCAGACCGCCAGCUAAGGUCCCAAAGUCAUGGUUAAGUGGGAAACGAUGUGGGAAGGCCCAGACAGCCAGGAUGUUGGCUUAGAAGCAGCCAUCAUUUAAAGAAAGCGUAAUAGCUCACUGGUCGAGUCGGCCUGCGCGGAAGAUGUAACGGGGCUAAACCAUGCACCGAAGCUGCGGCAGCGACGCUGAUGCGUUGUUGGGUAGGGGAGCGUUCUGUAAGCCUGCGAAGGUGGCCUGUGAGGGUUGCUGGAGGUAUCAGAAGUGCGAAUGCUGACAUAAGUAACGAUAAAGCGGGUGAAAAGCCCGCUCGCCGGAAGACCAAGGGUUCCUGUCCAACGUUAAUCGGGGCAGGGUGAGUCGACCCCUAAGGCGAGGCCGAAAGGCGUAGUCGAUGGGAAACGGGUUAAUAUUCCCGUACUUGGUGUUACUGCGAAGGGGGGACGGAGAAGGCUAUGUUGGCCGGGCGACGGUUGUCCCGGUUUAAGCGUGUAGGUGUGUGUUCCAGGUAAAUCCGGUUCACUUUAACACUGAGGCGUGAUGACGAGGCACUACGGUGCUGAAGCAACAAAUGCCCUGCUUCCAGGAAAAGCCUCUAAGCAUCAGGUAACAUCAAAUCGUACCCCAAACCGACACAGGUGGUCAGGUAGAGAAUACCAAGGCGCUUGAGAGAACUCGGGUGAAGGAACUAGGCAAAAUGGUGCCGUAACUUCGGGAGAAGGCACGCUGACA
rnacentral:rRNA from 1 species